GGGGUCUCGGGCGGUAGCUGCAGCGUGUCUGUCGGCCGUACGCUGCAGCUGGCCUGUGUGGACCUAGACUAUAACAGGAGGAGGCUGACAGUCCGUCCUGGCAGUUGCAGGUGUGAGCAUGCACACAGCUGUCUGAUGCUCAUGUAUGAUACUGCACACAAAC
rnacentral:snoRNA from 1 species